rnacentral:misc_RNA from 1 species
UUUCCGUAGGUGAACCUGCGGAAGGAUCAUUAUUGUAUAACCGAGGUGCGAGGGCUGUCGCUGACCCGAAAGGUCGUGCACGCCCGAGUGCCCUCACUCACAUCCAUCUCACCCCUAUGUGCACCACCGCGUGGGUCCCCCUUUGGCUUGUUCGGAGGGGGGCUUACGCUUUCACACAAACUUUGUAUGCAGUGUAGAAUGUAUUUUUUGUUUUUGCGAUCACGCAAUCAAUACAACUCUCAACAACGGAUCUCUUGGCUCUC